rnacentral:rRNA from 1 species
UCCUGGCUCAGGAUGAACGCUGGCGGCGUGCUUAACACAUGCAAGUCGAACGAAGAUGCCGGAGUGCUUGCACUUUGGUAGACUGAGUGGCGGACGGGUGAGUAACGCGUGGGUAACCUGCCUUAUACAGGGGGAUAACAGUUGGAAACGACUGCUAAUACCGCAUAAGCGCACGGUAUCGCAUGAUACAGUGUGAAAAACUCCGGUGGUAUAAGAUGGACCCGCGUCUGAUUAGCUGGUUGGUGAGGUAACGGCCCACCAAGGCGACGAUCAGUAGCCGGCCUGAGAGGGUGAACGGCCACAUUGGGACUGAGACACGGCCCAAACUCCUACGGGAGGCAGCAGUGGGGAAUAUUGCACAAUGGGGGAAACCCUGAUGCAGCGACGCCGCGUGAGUGAUGAAGUAUUUCGGUAUGUAAAACUCUAUCAGCAGGGAAGAUAAUGACGGUACCUGACUAAGAAGCACCGGCUAAAUACGUGCC